AUUGAACGCUGGCGGCAUGCCUUACACAUGCAAGUCGAACGGUAACAGGUCUUCGGAUGCUGACGAGUGGCGAACGGGUGAGUAAUACAUCGGAACGUGCCUAGUAGUGGGGGAUAGCUACUCGAAAGAGUGGCUAAUACCGCAUGAGAUCUACGGAUGAAAGCAGGGGAUCGCAAGACCUUGUGCUACUAGAGCGGCCGAUGGCAGAUUAGGUAGUUGGUGGGAUAAAAGCUUUCCAAGCCGACGAUCUGUAGCUGGUCUGAGAGGACGAUCAGCCACACUGGGACUGAGACACGGCCCAGACUCCUACGGGAGGCAGCAGUGGGGAAUUUUGGACAAUGGGCGCAAGCCUGAUCCAGCAAUGCCGCGUGCAGGAUGAAGGCCUUCGGGUUGUAAACUGCUUUUGUACGGAACGAAAAGCCCUGGGUUAAUACCCUGGGGUCAUGACGGUACCGUAAGAAUAAGCACCGGCUAACUACGUGCCAGCAGCCGCAGUAAGAC
rnacentral:rRNA from 1 species